rnacentral:lncRNA from 1 species
GGUCAGUUGACCCCUUUAGGAGUUAUUGAUCUUUAUAGUCAAUUUUUAACCAUUUUUCGUAAAUCUUAGUAAUCUUUUACAAAUAUCUUCUCCUCUGAAACUACUUGGCCACAAUCAUCUUUUGGGUUAGUAGUUUGAAAAAUGUGUCCGGUGACCCGGCCAUCCAACCAAGAUGGCCGCCAUGGCUAAAAUAGAACAUGGGGUAAAAUGCAGUUUUUGGCUUAUAACUCAAAACCCAAAGCAUUUAGAGCAAAUCUGACAUUGGUAAAAUUGUUUAUCAGGUCAACAUUUAUCUGCUCUGAAAUUUUUAGAUGAAUCGGACAACCCGUUGUUGGGUUGCUGACCCUGAAUUGUUAGUUUUAAGGAAAUUUUGCUGUUUUUGGUCAUUAUGUUGAACAUUAUUAUUGAUAGAGAUAAACUGUAAACAACAAUAAUGUUCAACAAAGUAAGAUUUACAAAUAAGUCUACAUGACCGAAAUGGUCAAUUGACCCCCUUAGGAGUUAUUGUUCUUUAUAGUCAAUUUUUAACAAUUUUCAUAAAUUUUUACUAACAUUUUCCACUGAAACUAAUGG